UACGAAGGGGGCUAGCGUUGUUCGGAAUUACUGGGCGUAAAGGGCGCGUAGGCGGCCUUGUUAGUCGAGUGUGAAAGCCCUGGGCUUAACCCGGGAAGCGCGCUUGAUACUGCAGGGCUUGAGUGUGGGAGAGGUUGGUGGAAUUCCCAGUGUAGAGGUGAAAUUCGUAGAUAUUCGGAAGAACACCAGUGGCGAAGGCGACACACUGGCCCAAUACUGACGCUGAGGCUCGAAAGCGUGGGGAGCAAACAGG
rnacentral:rRNA from 1 species